rnacentral:lncRNA from 1 species
UUCCAGUCCAGGGAUCACCGGUGGAGACCCAUUAGUCUAUGCCAUCCUAGUCCCACCCGCCUGACACCUCAUGCUCACCAGAAGGACACCUUGGGCUGACCAGAGAGGAGGGUUUCUGUGUGAGAAGCGAUUUGUGAAUGCAUCUCAUAAAUGCCCUGCUCUCAGCUGCUGAACAUUCUCCUGCUGAAAGGCAGGGAGCUAAUUAGCACAGCCACCUCGACAGCGUCUGUUCCAGUCACCCCUGCAUGCAUGCUAGAACACCUUUGAACAAUGGAUGACAGUCUGCAGAGAGCACAGAGCUCCCGGAGAACAUAAAAAUGCAAUGGAACAGAAUGAAGGGAUGCAAGUCACAAUCGUCUCAACUGCAAGUUGGCCAAAGUAAACAUUGCCCCAAAGUGCUCCCAAAGCUUGCUGGCACAUAAACAUGAAUGAAUGAACAAUGUAGAAUUCACUCAAGAAAUUUCAAGGAGAGAGAGGAGGAGAUUUACAUCACACAGCAAACAACCUAAUAAAUCUGUUAAACGCCA